rnacentral:rRNA from 1 species
AUACGUAGGUGGCAAGCGUUGUCCGGAUUUAUUGGGUUUAAAGGGUGCGUAGGCGGUCUUAUAAGUCAGUUGUGAAAUACUUCAGCUUAACUGGAGAGGUGCAAUUGAUACUGUAAGACUUGAGUACAGACGAGGUAGGCGGAAUUGACGGUGUAGCGGUGAAAUGCUUAGAUAUCGUCAAGAACACCGAUAGCGAAGGCAGCUUACUAGACUGUAACUGACGCUGAUGCACGAAAGUGUGGGGAUCAAACAGGAUUAGAUACCCUGGUAGUCCACACUGUAAACGAUGAUUACUCGAUGUUGGCGAUACACAGCCAGCGUCUUAGCGAAAGCGAUAAGUAAUCCACCUGGGGAGUACGCCCGCAAGGGUGAA